UAUUUGCCUAACGCAAGAUGG
rnacentral:piRNA from 1 species